GUAAGCAGGAGUGGGCGGGGAUCCCUCAGCUGGGAAGGGAGGCUUCCCAUUGCCUAUCUGAGAGAUCCCUGCCCCCUCCUGCUUGCACACAAGCUCUGAUACAGUGUGAAGUCUCCCUUCACAGUUGAGAGACCCCCGCGCCACUCCUGCUUGC